UACAGAGGGUGCAAGCGUUAAUCGGAAUUACUGGGCGUAAAGCGUGCGCAGGCGGUCUUUUAAGUCAGAUGUGAAAUCCCCGGGCUUAACCUGGGAACUGCGUUUGAAACUGGAAGGCUUGAGUGUGGCAGAGGGGGGUGGAAUUCCACGUGUAGCAGUGAAAUGCGUAGAGAUGUGGAGGAACACCGAUGGCGAAGGCAGCCCCCUGGGAUAACACUGACGCUCAUGCACGAAAGCGUGGGGAGCAAACAGG
rnacentral:rRNA from 1 species